GACGAACGCUGGCGGCGUGCUUAACACAUGCCAGUCGAACGGAAAGGCCCUGCUUUUGUGGGGUGCUCGAGUGGCGAAAGGGUGAGUAACACGUGAGUAACCUGCCCUUGACUUUGGGAUAACUUCAGGAAACUGGGGCUAAUAACGGAUAGGAGCUCCUGCUGCAUGGUGGGGGUUGGAAAGUUUCGGCGGGUGGGGAUGGACUCGCGGCUUAUCAGCUUGUUGGUGGGGUAGUGGCUUACCAAGGCUUUGACGGGUAGCCGGCCUGAGAGGGUGACCGGCCACAUUGGGACUGAGAUACGGCCCAGACUCCUACGGGAGGCAGCAGUGGGGAAUAUUGCACAAUGGGCGGAAGCCUGAUGCAGCAACGCCGCGUGCGGGAUGACGGCCUUCGGGUUGUAAACCGCUUUCGCCUGUGACGAAGCGUGAGUGACGGUAAUGGGUAAAGAAGCACCGGCUAACUACGUG
rnacentral:rRNA from 1 species